CUUCUACUGCCUCCGUUCGGAAUUACUUGUCUCGGAAAUGGAUGUAUCUAGAACUAAAACACAUCUAGAUACAUUCAUUUCUGCGACAAGUAAUUCCGAACGGGGGGAGUAGUAU
rfam:Triticum urartu cultivar G1812 contig230698, whole genome shotgun sequence.